GCCAUACAUUUUUGGUUCAUUGUAAUUCUUUUGGUAUCACUAUAUCCAACUGCUGUAGUGCUAUGGAAUAUGCACGGGCAGUGUAAUUCCAAGCUCUCUUUGUUAAUUAUCUCAGUGGGUUGGAAAUUGGGCUCUUUGUUGUCCUUAUACCAUUGUACGCCAACUUUCUCAACCCAUUUCACACCAAAUCUUCAAUACACUCUGAGAAGCAGAGGGGGCAUCUGGAUUAGUAUUGGUAGGCUGCCCUAUACGAGCACAUUUCUAUCCUUUGCGGGAGCUAGAAGCAACUCCCUUACCCUUGCUCUUUUUGGGUGACAUGAGCCCUUGGAGUGAAUAACUAGUGAAAG
rnacentral:lncRNA from 1 species